rnacentral:rRNA from 1 species
AGUGAACGCUGGCGGUAGGCCUAACACAUGCAAGUCGAACGGCAGCACAGUAAGAGCUUGCUCUUACGGGUGGCGAGUGGCGGACGGGUGAGGAAUACAUCGGAAUCUACUUUUUCGUGGGGGAUAACGUAGGGAAACUUACGCUAAUACCGCAUACGACCUACGGUUGAAAGCAGGGGAUCUUCGGACCUUGCGCGAUUGAAUGAGCCGAUGUCGGAUUAGCUAGUUGGCGGGGUAAAGGCCCACCAAGGCGACGAUCCGUAGCUGGUCUGAGAGGAUGAUAAGCCACACUGGAACGGAGACACGGUCCAGACUCCUACGGGAGGCAGCAGUGGGGAAUAUUGGACAAUGGGCGCAAGCCUGAUCCAGCCAUACCGCGUGGGUGAAGAAGGCCUUCGGGUUGUAAAGCCCUUUUGUUGGGAAAGAAAAGCAGCAGGUUAAUACCCCGCUGUUCUGACGGUACCCAAAGAAUAAGCACCGGCUAACUUCGUG